AGGCACGUAGCUCAGCGGGAGAGCACUACCCUGACACGGUAGGGGUCGUUGGUUCAAACCCAAUCGUGCCUACCA
rnacentral:tRNA from 3 species